UGAAAGUUUUUGGACUGUUGCUGCUGUUCUGGAAAGUUUUUGGUUACACUUCGGCAUGUGUGUUUGUUGUUUUAGCAUCCAAAGAGUAGUCUUGAACUUACAAAUUAUCUGAGCCAAAUGUUAACAACUGUUCGACACGUAUCCAAGCACGCCACCGAGUCCUACAGGAAAAAGAAGCAAUGGAAGACCAAGAAGAGGAUGAAGCAUUGUAAUUUUUUCUUAGGUUUCGUAUGUUGUAUUUUGUUGGCACAUUUUAUUCGAUUCAGAAUGAAGGUGUAAGUAUAAGUUUGAGAAUUUCGAAAUGAAGAUUGUCUUAUGUUGAGCAAAAUUUUGUGAUUCGACAAGAGUUGUUUAUUUCUUGA